CGGCGGAUUGCUAAUCCGUAGUACGGAUCAUCCGUACCGAGGGUUCGAAUCCCUCUCUCUCCG
rnacentral:tRNA from 1 species